rnacentral:lncRNA from 1 species
GUCCGCCAGGUUUCUCCAAUGGUGUUAUUUUUCAUUUUGCAAAGGUGCUAUUUUUUGUUCUCCAAGUUCUGUUCUUUGGAAGUGAGUCACUAAGUCCAUGCCACACUUCAGAGGAAGGAAAUUAAGCCCCUCUUUCUGAAGGAGAAGGUAUCAACAUAUAAUAUUUGGAAUUCUUCUGUGGAAGCUAUGUAGAAUUCAUAUUCCCAGAAUGCCUUAUAGCUAGGAUAUGAAUGAUUAACCUGGCCUCAGCCAAUUAGAACAUCUGCCAGAGACUUAAGUUCAGAUGUAACCAUCGUGAAGAAGUGGCUGGGCAGGAGUAUCAACUCCGGGCAAAGGAUGUCUCUUCUGAAGCAACAGCGCCCAGGGCUAAGUCAUGUUUGCUCAGCAGGAGUGCUCAUAUUUCUCAAGAGAUGCCUCAGUGGGGUUGGGCAUUAUUCACAGCUGUGUAACCUCAAAAUCUGGCUUUCUGGCCCAAAUGAAUGUUCUGUGAGUUACUUGAAACCCUUUAAUAAAUUCUUUGCCUGCUUAAAAUAGCCACAGUGAAUUCUGUUUGCAACUUAGAACCCCC